UACAACAAUCAAAUUAUUUGUUCGUGCUUAUGGAACAACUGUUUCUGAAUGUGUAUAUAUACUCCCUGGUGAAUGUUAUGGACACAGUUAUAGUUUCUAAAUAUUCACAAAGAACACUAGUGUGUGCAGUGAUUGCAUAUCAUUUUAUAAGAAACCAUGAAGAGUUUUGCUUUGAGUAUCAUCUUGGUGAUAGUCUGUUUAGCGGCAUUCUACCCUGAAUCCAAUGCUCAACAUGCUCACAGCAAACGAAAAUCCCAAACACGAAUGGCACAGAAUGGCAUAUCGCAAGGUGGAGCGUCAUCAAGUGGAAUGUCUCCAGGUGGUAUGAUGCCACAGGCAGGUGCACCUAUGCCUAUGCCAAUGGGAGGAAGUGCAGGCAACGGAGGAAUGGCUGGUGGCAGAUUCGGUUUCAGCAUGGGAGGAGGCAUGGGAAAAAAGUAGACUCGUUAAUCAUAAGGAUUCUGAAUUUCAACAAUAUCCCAUUUUGUUGGAACUUCUUGAAUAAUGGUCUCCACAUCAUCUGUUGGCUGGAAUAUUAUCUAUAGCUUAACAAAUAAAAGCACCAUUUCUUGGUUCACUGAAAAUUA